rnacentral:lncRNA from 1 species
UUUUGUACAGUAAUAUUUUCUAACUCUAAUCCGACGAUGGAGAUGGGUUAGGGGUGUUACACUAUCACCUAUUUACAGUGUAAUAGAAUGAACUAAUAAGUUUAACAUUAAACAACCUAAAUUCGAUUACUGUCGAAUUAAAUUUACAAUUCAAACACAGAAUCCUAUUUACAUGCUCCUAGCCAAUCACUUGUAUUGCUACAAGCUCACACACAAACAAACACACACAAAAAAUUAACGAAAAAAACUAGUAAAAACAAAAAAAAAUUGAAAAUUUUCUAGGUUACCCCCACACUUUUUU